rfam:Echinostoma caproni strain Egypt genome assembly, scaffold: ECPE_scaffold0008181
GGCCUCGCAGCUCAACUGGUAGAGCAUGCGCGUACAAAUCGUAGGCGGCGUCCAUGCGUGGGUUCGAAUCCCACCGAGGCUA